UUAAUUUAACAGUAAAUUUUAUAUAUUAUGAAAAUAAAUAUCAUGUUAUUUUCUAUGUAUAAAAAAUUUAUUUAUUUUUACAUAUAAUUAUUUAUUUAUUUUUUUUUAGUAAUAAAUAGUACGCUAUUCGCUUCGUUUAUUUCAUUUAAAAAUAAUCUUAGCUAUAAAUAUGAAUUAGCCAGAAUUUGAACUUAAAUAUCAGAUAUCAAAUAUCAAAUUUUUUAUCAUUUGAUUUACAGAC
rnacentral:lncRNA from 1 species